GAACUGAAGAGUUUGAUCCUGGCUCAGAUUGAACGCUGGCGGCAUGCCUUACACAUGCAAGUCGAACGGAAACAGGUCAAGCUGUCGAGUGGCGAACGGGUGAGUAAUACAUCGGAACGUGCCCAGUAGUGGGGGAUAGCCCGGCGAAAGCCGGAUUAAUACCGCAUACGACCUACGGGUGAAAGCGGGGGACCGCAAGGCCUCGCGCUGUUGGAGCGGCCGAUGUCAGAUUAGGUAGUUGGUGGGGUAAAAGCCUACCAAGCCGACGAUCUGUAGCUGGUCUGAGAGGACGACCAGCCACACUGGGACUGAGACACGGCCCAGACUCCUACGGGAGGCAGCAGUGGGGAAUUUUGGACAAUGGGCGCAAGCCU
rnacentral:rRNA from 1 species